rnacentral:sRNA from 1 species
ACACGAGGAAGGAGGUGGUCCCAGACAUGAACGACUGUUGGACACGUGAGGUGGCUGCCAGCUAGCCGCCACCGCUGACGGCAUUCACUGACCGCGCGAGCGGCUGGCGAAUUCCAGGCAGCCACCCGGCCCCCGAGCCCGAUCCGUCCACGAUCGGCCCGCACUCGCCCCGACACGGGCGGUCGCGGGAACGGCUCGGGGGCCGUUCCCU